rnacentral:rRNA from 1 species
UACGUAGGUGGCAAGCGUUAUCCGGAUUUACUGGGUGUAAAGGGUGCGUAGGUGGCAUGGCAAGUCAGAAGUGAAAGGCCGGGGCUCAACCUGUGGCCUGCAUUUGAAACUGUUUUUCUUGAGUACUGGAGAGGCAGACGGAAUUCCUAGUGUAGCGGUGAAAUGCGUAGAUAUACGGAGGAACACCAGUGGCGAAGGCGGAUUGCUGGACAGUAACUGACGCUGAGGCGCGAAAGCGUGGGGAGCAA